AUAAAAUUACGUUACGAUAAAAUUAUUGUUUAUCUUUCUCACACCGCGCGCCUUCUGUCAACGAAUUAGGGGAGGAUACCCCCUUCGAAUCUACACUCUGCCUGAAAUAUUUAUCGUCGUUUCAUCCAAUUGCUCGUUGAGUCACACUCCCAGUAUAAAUUAUUCGAGUGUACCGAUCCGCCUGCUGGUGAUUCGAGUAUACCCGGUAGAUUGGAAUGGAGAAACGGUAUGUUACGGUACUUUUUAGUCAAGUAUUCGAUGGGACUCCGGAUUCCAAGAGUACAGUCUGCGUUUCAAGAGAGCUCAAAACAUUUCAGAUAUCACAUCUGAUUCAAGAUACAUUAUCAAAACUUGUCUUACGCAAUCACAACGAAUCGCAAACACCGUAUCUUUCGGUGCCCGUAACGCGUGCGUAUUUCAAAAUAAUUUUACCGAUAAACAGCGGUACAUGAAUUGGAAGUGAGUUAUUUCUCUGAAUGAGAAAUCGAAAAAAACUUCUCUCCGGUAUUCGAAUUAUGAGAAGAACAUUAGGGUCCCAAAGUGGACCAUGUGCACUUGGUAUCCUUGUCAAAACAGCUUGUAACUAAAAUAGAAUAUUCAGUCGCAACAACUUGCGCUAAAUUUUAACUCUGCACUGUUAGACAAAGAGCUGGUUUUCGAACUUGACGGGUUUAUAGCGAUAUUCAGCUGAGAGUACAUGCCAUAUGGCAAGAUUCUACUACACGUGCCCAUCGGCGCCGGCAGUGCUACCGCUAGAAGCGUAGCCGCCAUCUUGGUCCAUCGACUAUUAGCAAUCGUAUUUCAUCGGUCGUAGUGUUAUGCUGCUAAAAUUAAAAAAACAAAACGAUGAUUAUGAGGAACUAUCUGUACCCGGCCUUCAGAUUUACCUGAUUCAAAUUGUCGAAUAAACGGCAAUUUUUGAUUUUUAAUUUCGCGUGUCAUGAUGGGGGCGUAAGUUAAUGGCUAGUAGAUAUUGUACUUUCACCUACACAAAACUGUGGAAUAAGCAGACGCAGAUUACAUAUGGUAAACUUUCCAUGCGGCUGGUUGACUUGCCAAGAAACUCGUCCGCGAACCAGUACCACGAUGCUAGUACCUUUUUCUCCGUUAUAAACAAUCAUCUAUAACUAGUUCAUUCAUUAUUGGCGCACGUAUGAUGUGGACACAGUUGGAUCUCAUUGUUCUAACUAGUGUUGGCGUUAAAUGUUGUAAAUUAUACCGAAGACUCGUUAGACAAUAAUGCGAGAUGACAACGAAAAAAAAAAAAGAUUACCAUGAGUCAGAUAAGAUUCCGACCCUCGACCCAUAUCGACAACUAUAUAACACGACAUGUGAUCGAAAACCUACAUCUAUGGAGUCGCAGGAAAGGCAUGGUAUGAAAUCAUAGUGUAUGAGAUGAAUGUUCUUGCAUUAUAAACCAGGAUCGUAGGCUUUCUCUUAGGUUGACGGAGCUUCAACCUGCAGGGGUCCUCCGAAAUCUAAAUUACUUCGCCAUACCGGAUGACGCAUUCGGCAAAUAUACGUCGUCAGCGUCAGCAAAGUGACGCGAUGUUCGAAGAAAAAAACCGCAGUUGGGGUCACAGAGGAAAAGAAAUUUUGUUGUUUACACCACAAUCGAAUUUCUGCUGCAGAUCGCACUGCAAUUUGUGGAGGGAAUUUAAAAAACAAUAAGAAGGAAAGAGCUCGCCGAUCGUUGCAUCAUCCCCUGCGCAAAUAACAUUCAACCCCGUAUCACUGUAUUGUGCACCUUUGAUGGAUUUUUUUAAAAAUAAAACAAGCAUCAACGACGCAACUGAA